UGCCAGCCGCCGCGGUAAUACCGGUGGCUCGAGUGGUGGCCGCUAUUAUUGGGUCUAAAGGGUCCGUAGCCGGCCUGAUAAGUUACCUGGGAAAUCCGGUGGCCUAACCAUCGGGCGGCCAGGUAAUACUAUCAGGCUCGGGACUAGGAGAGACCAGAGGUACUCAUGAGGUAGGAGUGAAAUCCUGUAAUCUUAUGAGGACCACCAGUGGUGAAGACGUCUGGUUAGAAUAGGUCCGACGGUGAGGGACGAAGGCUGGGGGCGCAAACCGGAUUAGAUACCCGGGUAGUCCCAGCAGUAAACGAUGCCAGCUAUGUGUUGCUGGAACCAUGGGUUCCAGCAGUGCCGAAGGGAAGCCGUGAAGCUGGCCACCUGGGAAGUACGGUCGCAAGGCUGAAACUUAAAGGAAUUGGCGGGGGAGUACCACAACCGGUGGAGCCUGCGGUUUAAUUGGAUACAACGCCGGGAAUCUUACCGGAGGGGACAGCAGUAUGAAGGCCAGGCUAAAGACCUUGCCAGAUCAGCUGAGAGGAGGUGCAUGGCCGUCGCCAGUUCGUACCGUGA
rnacentral:rRNA from 1 species